AUGCUUGGCCUUGGAGACAUGGCUAUUCCGGCCAUGCUUUUGGCAUUAAUCCUUUGUUUUGAUCAUCGAAAGAGCAGAGAUCCUGUAAGUCUCUUAGAUAUUCAUUCCUCAAAGGGACACAAAUACAUAUGGUAUGCCCUUUCUGGAUAUGCCAUUGGACUGGUAACUGCUUUGGCAGCUGGUGUUUUGACUCGCUCACCCCAACCUGCACUUCUUUAUCUGGUGCCGUCGACACUGGGACCUAUAAUCGUCAUCUCGUGGAUUAGGAGGGAACUAGCUGAGUUAUGGGAAGGAAGCAUGUCAAAUCUCAAUGAUAAAGCACGGCAAAUAGAAGUUUAAGCCAUUUGUCUUCGUGAGACAGAGCUACAGGGCGAAUUGGAAGUUGUAAAUUCACUUGGAAGU
rnacentral:misc_RNA from 1 species